rnacentral:rRNA from 1 species
UAGGGAAUCUUCGGCAAUGGACGAAAGUCUGACCGAGCAACGCCGCGUGAGUGAAGAAGGUUUUCGGAUCGUAAAACUCUGUUGUUAGAGAAGAACAAGGACGUUAGUAACUGAACGUCCCCUGACGGUAUCUAACCAGAAAGCCACGGCUAACUACGUGCCAGCAGCCGCGGUAAUACGUAGGUGGCAAGCGUUGUCCGGAUUUAUUGGGCGUAAAGCGAGCGCAGGCGGUUUCUUAAGUCUGAUGUGAAAGCCCCCGGCUCAACCGGGGAGGGUCAUUGGAAACUGGGAGACUUGGGUGCAGAAGAGGAGAGUGGAAUUCCAUGUGUAGCGGUGAAAUGCGUAGAUAUAUAGAGGGACACCAGUGGCGAAGGCGGCUCUCUGGUCUGUAACUGACGCUGAGGCUCGAAAGCGUGGGGAGCAAACAGG